UUAUCGCAAUCGAGCGUAAGCGGCUGAGCGGCCGCACUCAAUGUCUCCUCGUCGGUGUGGUGUCUAGGGGCGAGUGCCGGUGAUGCACGUGGUAGGCGGCAGCGCAGCGCUCGAGGCGAACCGGCGCGUGACGCCAUCAGUGUGCACUCGAGACGGCUGUGGGUCACGCAUGCCAGCUGGACGCUCGGUGGACGUGGCGCAACUUGGAGAGGUACCGGAGCACGAGCGAUGGCGUCACAGCGCGCACCGGUCGCAACCGACAGCGGUACCGACGCCUCGCCCCGUUCUAGGUGUCUCGACGCGUACCCCACUCGUAUAGCCGGGGUACAACGAUUUAAGACCGGCCGAUAUCAAACCCAACUCGCCGCCUCUACCGUUUAAAGUUGUGGCGUCCACCGAGUCGUUACUGUACACUUCUUCCUAUACACCCUCGAAAACCUACCACUAACUGUUUCCGUGGUUGUUCCUUCUAGUCUCUCAACGUAAAGGAAUCAUCGUCAAGAUUGACAGAGAAGAUAUGGAACAUCUGGUAUUACUUUAUUAAUCCUGCGAUGCCUUGACCUCAAGAUGGUGAUAUACAUAGAAAUGACAGACGCUGGUUCUACACACAAAAGAGGGCAAACAUAUAAAUAAACAUAGCACACUAGGUGAACGCAUCACUACUGUACGAACGAGAUGAACAAGACAUACCAUAAACACCUUAACCAGAACAACGAGUGGGA
rnacentral:rRNA from 1 species